rnacentral:rRNA from 1 species
UUGGUGAGGUAACGGCUCACCAAGGCAAAGACGGGUAGCCGGUCUGAGAGGAUGGUCGGCCACACUGGAACUGAGACACGGUCCAGACACCUACGGGUGGCAGCAGUCGAGAAUCAUUCACAAUGGGGGAAACCCUGAUGGUGCGACGCCGCGUGGGGGAUGAAUGGCUUCGGCCCGUAAACCCCUGUCAUUUGUGAACAAACCUUUUGGAGUAAUAUUUCAAAAGCUGAUAGUAGCAAAAGAGGAAGGGACGGCUAACUCUGUGCCAGCAGCCG